rnacentral:rRNA from 1 species
GACGAACGCUGGCGGCGUGCUUAACACAUGCAAGUCGAACGGAAAGGCCCUGCUUUUGUGGGGUGCUCGAGUGGCGAACGGGUGAGUAACACGUGAGUAACCUGCCCUUGACUUUGGGAUAACUUCAGGAAACUGGGGCUAAUACCGGAUAGGAGCUCCUGCUGCAUGGUGGGGGUUGGAAAGUUUCGGCGGUUGGGGAUGGACUCGCGGCUUAUCAGCUUGUUGGUGGGGUAGUGGCUUACCAAGGCUUUGACGGGUAGCCGGCCUGAGAGGGUGACCGGCCACAUUGGGACUGAGAUUCGGCCCAGACUCCUACGGGAGGCAGCAGUGGAGAAUAUUGCACAAUGGGCGGAAGCCUGUUGCAGCAACGCCGCGUGCGGGAUGACGGCCUUCGGGUUGUAAACCGCUUUCGCCUGUGACGAAGCGUGAGUGACGGUAAUGGGUAAAGAAGCACCGGCUAACUACGUG